rnacentral:rRNA from 1 species
GAUGCCUACGGGACGCAGCAGUGGGGAAUAUUGGGCAAUGGGCGAAAGCCUGACCCAGCAAUGCCGCGUGAAUGAAGAAGGUCUUAGGAUUGUAAAAUUCUGUCCUAUGGGAAGAAACAAAUGACGGUACCAUAGGAGGAAGCCCCGGCUAACUACGUGCCAGCAGCCGCGGUAAUACGUAGGGGGCGAGCGUUGUCCGGAAUUACUGGGCGUAAAGGGUGCGUAGGCGGCCUGCUAAGUCUGGAGUGAUAGGUACGGGCUCAACCGGUACAGGCUCUGGAAA